AUUGAACGCUGGCGGCAGGCCUAACACAUGCAAGUCGAACGAGUGGCGGACGGGUGAGUAAUGUCUGGGAAACUGCCCGAUGGAGGGGGAUAACUACUGGAAACGGUAGCUAAUACCGCAUACCAUCGGAUGUGCCCAGAUGGGAUUAGCUAGUAGGUGGGGUAACGGCUCACCUAGGCGACGAUCCCUAGCUGGUCUGAGAGGAUGACCAGCCACACUGGAAUUGAGACACGGUCCAGACCCCGAGGGGAGGCAGCGGUGGGGAAUAUUGAACAGUGGGCGAAAGCCUGAUGCAGCCAUGCGGGGUGUAUGAAGAAGGCCUUCGGGUUGUAAAGUACUUUCAGCGAGGAGGCGUGACUCGAAGAAGAAGCACCGGCAAACUCCGUGCCAGCCGCCGCGGUAAAC
rnacentral:rRNA from 1 species